rnacentral:lncRNA from 1 species
GUGUCCCCUAGUGUCCUUCACACUGGGACUGUCCCUCAGUCCAGCCGCUAAGGAUGGACGCCUUGGGAAGGCAUCUUUCAGGAGGUACUUUGAAACUGUGCGUUGCUCCUCAAACUUUUGCCAUCUGAAUGCGGCAUCCAUCAGUGGAUCUCGCUGGCAAGGAUCAUUACCAAGGUUGUUCCAGCUUUGGCCAUUGGGAGCUCCUUCAGCUAACAGUCCCUGUGAGCCAGUGACCUCAGAACACUGGGCUAAGAGAUGUCCGGCCCUGGAACCACGGGCUUAUGGGAAUUCUCAUUUCGUGUGGUCAUCCCUGCUCACGCUGAUCCUCCGAGAGGACCCGGGGGGACACGCCUUCCUGCCCAUCCUGACGUGCCAGGUCCUCGCACAGGCUCCUUUCCCUCCGGACAUCUUCCUUCUCCAGUCAAGUCAGCACAAAAACAGCCCAGAGGAGCCAUGAAAACCGCUUUAUUAUUUCAGUUCUUUCAUUUCUUUGUUACAGACUUGGAACCAGCAAAACAUAAACUAAAUGUCAGGCUUGCAAUUUUCUGCUUCAAAAAUUGGCAAAUCCCACUGUGAAUCCUAGAGAGCACCACUUUGCUUUUGUUUCAUGGGUAAAAAGCCAGGCUCGGGGGGGAAAUGACUAAACGGCUCUUGACGUGGAACUCCCUGUCCUCCCACACGUCCGCACCCAUGAGCCCCUCACCGCCGCGCUUGCUUCUGUCCUCGGUCCCACACUCUGUGUCCCCCCCUAACAGGCCGUUUUAAAGGUGGGGAGAGUGGAGGAAACCUUCCUGAACACAACACCCAGCAGUCAUAAACGAAAAGAUGGAUAAAUGUGACUGCAAAAGUCUGUAUUAAAGGGGCUGGCCCCGUGGCCGAGUGGUUAAGUUUGCGCGCUCCGCUGCAGGCGGCCCAGUGUUU